UACGUAGGGUGCAAGCGUUAAUCGGAAUUACUGGGCGUAAAGCGUGCGCAGGCGGUUAUGUAAGACAGAUGUGAAAUGCCCGGGCUUAACCUGGGAACUGCAUUUGUGACUGCAUGGCUAGAGUUUGGGCAGAGGGGGGUAGAGUUCCACGUGUAGCAGUGAAAUGCGUAGAUAUGUGGAGGAACACCAGUGGCGAAGGCGACUCUCUGGUCUGUAACUGACGCUGAGGCGGCGAAAGCG
rnacentral:rRNA from 1 species